UUUUGCCUAAAGAUAUGGCUGAAUGCAAAUUAAAGUGAUGUUUUCAUAUUCACAGUGGAUUUUAGGUUUGACUGUACCUCAUAUACAACCAGGCCAAGGUCUAUAACAGGGACAAUAUUUACUCUCAAUUUUGGCCAAAGAUCUUGUUUUGUUCUUCAUUCCAAGUGCAGCUAUGUACCCAUAAUAUUGAAUGAAAAUAAAAUGUUGCAGUUGUAUAAAACUAGAAGCUAGAAGCUCUUUUGUAGGAAAUGGGAAGAACCAACAUACUGUGCAGAUACUGCUCUUUGAGGAUUUAACAUUUAGAUGGCCACUUGCAUGUACCAAACGGGACAUUUAUAAGGUCUUUUGACAAUAUUCCUGGCAACCCUCAAAUCCUAGAUUUUAUCUGUGUGUUAGGAAUAGGAGAACUGAGAUUGUACAGCAUCCUUUGACACCUUCAAGGUCAUGGGGCUAGUAAUGGGCACGGCCCAGAUCUGUCUGAUUCUUCUAAACUAUACCUUUCCCUCUCCAGUGCUCCGCGUCUGUCUUGAGUUGGUCAUACUGAUUCAGGGGUGAAAGAAACAUCUUCAGCCCUACUGGGUGCCAACCCGUCUCCAGGCUUCCAAGACAGAUUGCUAUAGUGGGGAUUAAAAAAAAAAAAAAUCCCUUUCAAUUUCACAUAUUUAUGCGUGUGUCAAUGAGCAGUUUAAGAAUGUAUCUAUCAAUAUCAAAUGUGGUUUUUAGCAGAAACCUUGAAAAAAUUGCAGAAUUAUCCUCUGAAAUAUUGCAGCUAUUAUUUUUUAAAAUUGCAGAAAAUGUUCUGCCAUUUCAGACCAUUUAUCUCUGUUAACAAGACACUUUUUUUAGUUGGAUAGAUAAUAUACACCCAUCUGGCCUGCCGUUUCUUCAUUUACUUUGGUCAUAAUAACUAAAGGCAUUUCUCCAUUGCUUUGGCAAUGUCCAGGCCAAUUUUUGCCUUUCCUGCUGUUAAUGUGGAAGGUAAAACAAAGAGAAACUGGGACUUGGUGACAACACACAGACAUGCCAUUUACAAUGUCAUUUCAGUGUUGAGAAGAGAGCGGUGCCUCAGUGAUAAUGAAAGUAAAAGCUUAUUUAAAACAAUCCCUGGUUGUUCAGGGAAGGUAUAGGAAAAUGCUACAAAAUAUUUUUGUGCUGUUCGUAGACACCUACCCUAUUAUUUUAUCUUCUCUUUCAUGAAGUUCUCUGAUGCAAAUCUAUACAUUUGCAAAUACGCGUGUAAUUCAGAUUUUUCUGCCUGAGUUAUGAAAACAACUGGACCAACUUUUCACUUGGCUUUAGCUCUGUUUACAACACAAUGAGAAGCGAAGCACUGAGAUAAUUCUCUGAAUAAUGCAAGGUAAAGAAAAAGAAUGUGCUUUCAUCUCCUUGAUGUUUAGGAGAGACUGUUCUGCAGUGUCUGUGUAGUUUCCUCAUUUCUCCAUUUUCUUUUCUGUAUUCACGGAGUCGGCAGGUUGGCAUAGAUUUUUGCCUGGGAAUUCUAGAAAGGGUGUUUUUUUUUUUGUUUUUUUUUUUUUAAAUGAAGUGUAAGAAAACAGGAGUUUUGAUCCCGAAACUGUCAACUACAGUUCCGUCUCUCUUUGCUUUCAUUUUUUCUUCUCCUUGUGUUUUCUCUCCAUCCCAGACUUUCCUUUUCUCCUCAUUAUUCCUAAAGCUGCCUGACCCUCUGUUAAUUGGUUUCAUUGAAUUUACUCUAUCAAAAUAGAGUUGAAUUCAGAGGAAAGGAUGUGUUGUUUCAGAUUGACGGAAUUGUUUUCUCUUCAAGGAGCUGUUUUGCUUUGCGGCAAUACAGCUGAGUAGCCAGUGGGCAUUCCAGACCUUCCUUGGCAGGUAACAGACUAGACUUCUUCCACUCACCAGCUGGGAGCAGUCUCUGCACCCCAGUUCAUGCCCAGGCUGGGGGCAGUGGGAAGGGGGAAACAAAGAACUGGUUAUUUUGAAAAUGAUGCGUAACUAUUUACCCACUCAAUUCAAGAGGUUGUUUAAAAAAAUCAAACAGGUCAACAAAAUUCAAAUUUAGAGCCUUUGUCUUAAAGUAGCUUAUCUAUCUGUGGAGACAAGGCUAAUGAGUCCUGUGCUGUGCAACAAGCAUGGCUAGUAAAGGACCUGCUUUUUUUUUUUUUUAACUUGUCUGAGCAUUAGUUUAAAAUAAUAUCCAUAUAAAAAUACAUCAUUUUUUGUUUUUCCCUCCAAAAUGCUAAUAGAAAUUCUUUUUAGAUAAUGAGAUACAGUGUCAUUCAAAUUUUUACAAAUCAAAACUUUAUUACGGUAUAGUUAACAUAUAUUAAGCUGCAUACAUUUCAAGUGUGUUGUUUUCUAUGUUUUGACAUACGUAUCCAGUGUCAGUCCUGAUAGUCCAAAAAUUUCUUGUCUAUCCUUGCUUUAAACUGGCCAUGCUUAGUAUCAUGACACAGGGCUCUAUUUAUUUAUAUAAACUAAAUUUUAUGGUAGAACUUAAAAUUGGAAACGAACAGAUAGAGGUGAUAGAAUAAGACGCUUUUACUUUACAGAUGAGGAAACUGACAGUCAAAGAAGUUAUGUCUCUUAUUCAAGGUCAAAGAUUAUUUGUGAUACAGCCCAGGCAUGGCUUCUGGUUUUUAGCUCUGUGGCAGUGACGUAUAACCUAUCACUUUCCCUCUUGAGGGCAGGGGAAAAAUAUACACAUACACACAUAUAUAUUUCUAUUUUAUAUUUAUAUGAUAAUGUCUAUAUAUGAAUAUGAACUAUUUUCCCUAUAUACAUACAUAUAUAGAAUAUUUGUUUAUGUAAAAACUUUUCUCAAAUUUAGGUUGAAAGCUGAUUAGAAUGAAAAAUUUCUUACUGAGUUACUAAGAAGUAAAUAAGACAGAAACCCUCAAAUCUUCUUUCAGUGUGUGUGUGUAUGUGUGUGUGUGUGUGUGGUGUGUGUGCACGCACAUAGCUAUGUGUUUAGAAGGGCACAUUUCAAGAAACAAGGUCAUGAGAUACCCACGCAGAUAUUGACAGGUGCAUAAAGAAAGAUUUAUCAGGGGGGACUUGAUUUUUUUUUUUUUUUUGGCUAUUUAAUAAACUUGUACUGACCGAGUUAAAAAUACGAAAUUCUCCAGGAAGCAAAGCAGCACAUGAAACACAACCUGUGGACACAGUGUUGCUACUUCUCCUUUUUAUUCUUGGUCUGAGAUGCUGUUGGAUUGUUUGCCAGGUUCUACUGUUGAUCUCCCCUCUUACAAUAGGGACCCUGGGCUUGGAGGUCACCUGGAGUUUUAAAACUCAAACCUGGGCUUGGCCAUGUUUAAGCUCUUAUUAAAAAGCAUAAAAAGGGGGAGGUAAAGAUAGACAUGUUCCAUACCUCCUUUCUGGCUGAAAAUGAGCUGUUAUGUCUGAAUGUCAGAAAUCCACACGACUGAAAAAGCAUCGUAUACAUCUUUCUGUGGAAAAGUUCCAUCUCUGCCAUCAAAUCAGUAGUUGUGAACUCAGGGAAUCAAUAUUUUUGAAUGUUGGAAAGUAAUUCCUUUCUAUAUUGUGUUUUGUAGCACCCAAAAUAAUUUUUCUGUCUUUCCUUUAGGUUUUGGCUUAAAUCUUUUAAAUAAUUCUUUACAGCUAACAUUGAUUUGGUGUCAAAACCUUACAUAUUCAAGAAACACUGUGAAUGCUAUUAAAGCCAGAAAAUGAUGAUUCAAAGCAGUUUGGAAAUUAUUUGAGAUGAAGAAAUUGAGUCAAUAAAGAGGUUGAGUAACUUGCUUAAAUCCUCAUCGAUGGUAAGUGAGAUACACAGGGCUUGAGCCCUCCUAUUCUUAUUCCAGACUGUAUCAUUAACAAUGCCACCAGGACCAUCCUACCUCUGGACCACACGGUCUCUUCCAGGACCAUCCUUCCUACCUCUGGACGAUCUUCUGGAAGUCACCAGGGUCUCAGCGGACAGGGUCUCUGGCCUCCUACUUCUGCUUUGCCCUUCUUGCAACCUAGCUCCUCUUAAUAGUUCUGAUUCUCUCUAGGUCUGUCUGCUUCCCUCACCAAAAACUCAUUGAUCCUUCCAUCCAUGAAUAUUUCUGAACUAUGCCCAUUUGCUUACACUCUCCUUUCUCAUAACCUCAGCACUUCUUCAUGCCUUUGCUUAACAUCAUGGCUUCUCUCUGUAAAUCCUGUCAGUUUCGAUUCUUGCCACUAGCUCCCUGAAUUUUUCAGGCUUCCAGCUAGAGUCUGUCAGACUCUUCGAAGUAGUUCAGAUUUAGGCACCUGCCAGGUCAUAAUUCUUGGCUGCCUCAUAGGUCACCUGUGUUGAGCCUGGUGACCAACGGCAGGAUCCUCUGUGGCCAAGGUAGCCAAGCCUUAUGGUGGAAUCAGUGUUGCCUAAGGAUUCUCGGCGUUAAAUGCUGGAUUAUGGCUGUUUGCUUAGAAAAGGUUAUGGACAUGGCAGGAAUCCCAAUUAAUAGCUACAGCAUUAUUGUCUACAGUGAGCUGGGCAUCGCACAAGACACUUAGACACAUUGGAUAAUGGGAUUUUGAUGCUUCGAGGUGGACAUUAUCACCGUUUCCAUUCUAUAGACAGAUACUGAGUCUCUAAACUUGCCCAAUGGUCCAUGAUUAGAAAAUAGCAGAGCAACUAUUCAGACUCCCUUGACAUUUUUACUCCACUAAACCACAAGUUUCCUUUGCACAUGUUUAUUUUAUUUAAAACCCUCUGCUCCCUUUCUACCUGAAAUAAAUAGAACACUUGAAAGUCACCACUACUGUCAAUAUUAGAGACAUGUCAAAUGCUGUCACUUAGUCAGGAAAGCUGCUUUGGAGUAACUGUGUAAUAUUAUACAACAUGACAAGUUCUCAUCCACAGUGGCAACAUUAAAGCCAGGAGCAUGUGGCUCGUGCAAAACCCCAAAGCCAUUAGCUGAAAGACUGAGGAAUUCCCCACCCAACCCAAUAUGAUCUCAGCCCUGGAAAGUAGAGGCCACUCGGAGCGGAGUAAGAAGGGAGUGCUUUUUAACCCCGAGACAUUUGUAGGAUUUCCUGGAGAAGCAGCAACCAUACCAACUCCUUAUGAAUACCCAGUUGCCAUUCCUUUAAGGAGGUAAGUGUUCAAGAGUAGACAGCCCUUCCCUAGAGUACUGGUCCCAUCAAAAAGCAUAUUUAAUACCAACUACUGAUGCCAAGGCUGAAAAAAAAAGAAUAUUACAUUAAGUGGAAAUUUUGUGAAUUUAGUACCAAUUUAAAUCUUGUCUUGCUCUUCUGCCAAUGCUUUAUUUCAACUCACUGCCAAAUAAACUUACACCUAAUUUUAAACUAAUAUUUAAUGUUGGCAAACUCCAAGGACAUAAUUUGUACUGGUAUCAAUGAUACAUUAACCUAAUUAAUUAAAAACUAGCUUAUAAUUAAGAAAACAAAUGAACAAUGGACACUUUUGUGAGGCAAUGGCCUCCAUUUAUUGUCAUUUUUCCCCCCUUUUUUGCUCACUUGCUAAUUCUCAGAUUCAAUAAUCUGCACUGGGUAUCCCAGUCAUUAGUAUGAAUUAGCAGUGCUCCACUGUAAUUCACCAGAGACAGAGUUUUGAUAAAUGGAGGAAGUGUUUUAAUAGAGAUCAGUGUGGUGAAGCCAAAUUACAGGAAAGACUAGGUCCCUUUGGUAACUAGGCUUCCUUUGGUUUCUCUAUCCUGCAUCCCCUGCCAUCUUAUAAAAUACGAAGAUAAAAUAAAUGAAAUCCUUAAAGGGAAAAAAAACCUAAAUCUGAACCUAGGUUUUAAUAAACUUAACAUUAAUAAAGAGUUUGCAUGAUUAGAGUAAGGACUUCUAAUCAAUCCAGACAGAUAAGAUCACAGUCAUAAUUGCAUUGGCUGUUAUUAUUUCCUUUUCAUUUACUUGUACCAAAUGGAAAAUAAAGUCUUGAGAUGUCUACAAAUGGAAAUGAAAAUAAUGGUUUUCAGUGAUAAUUUGAUAGGAAGUAAUUGGCCACCUGAAGAGAAAAACCCUCAUCGUGGAAAUAAUUACAAAUAAUUGGUUACUACAAGAUUGGACUACAUUUGAUACACUCAGUACAAUAAAUACUCUUAACUAAAGAUGCUAACAUGGAGGUUUGAAGGGUGUUAGCAGCCAUGUAAAUUGGCAACAAAAGAACAAUUUAGAGAAAGAGUAGCCAGUGUGAUUUGAUUGGCCAACAAAAUUAUUUUGAAAUCUACUGUAAUCAGCUGUUGAUGCUGAAAGAUGGAUAUUUUACACACAAAUCAGGAUUUAUAGUUUUUCUUUUGGUGUAAACAAAGAGGAAACAUCAGACAACGCCGGGCUUUUGUGGCCACAAUGGCAGCAACGCUCUGGAACUAGAAGAUAGGAGAGCCCAGUGGACCUACCCCAUGCAGCUGGAAGGCAACCUACCCCUUGAAGAUGUUUGUGCUUGUGACUCCAGCUCCAAAUAACAUCCCAUGUUUACAUAAAACUUCUGCAUUUGACAGUAAGUUCGCAUACCUCAACUUACUUUGCAGAAUAAAUUCAGUUUAUGGAAAAAUAAACUGAGGCUUUGUUAAAGUGGCUCCCCCAAGGACACAGGUCUGAAGCUGAGGAAGCCAGGACAUGAAUCCAGGUCUUUUGACUCUUAAUCCCCUAACGUUUCAACUGAGCUCUGCUAAGUCUCAUCUGAGAUCAAUUAUGAAACCCAUCAUUGGAGAAAUAUGUUCAUUCAGGUAAAGUAAAUAGCCUUUAUUUGGGCUUAAAGUAUUAGCAUUGGCCUCAGAUGAAAACCGAUUUGUUUCAUGUGAACAAUACUAAAUGGCAAAAAAAUUGGAUAUGGUUCCAAACUCUUACCCAUUUUGAAAUUUCUAGAAAGUUUCUUGGGGCCAUUAGUUUAUUUAGAAAAAUAAUUGGUUUCAAAUGAUCACCCCUAAACAGAGACUAUAGGUAAACCAGUAAGCAUUUGAAAAAUAUAUUCAACCUUACUAAACAGAAAUACAAAUUAAAAAGGUGAGACAA